AAAAUCUCUAGAAUCCAUAAAUUUAUUUCUGAAGUUGACAACACUGUUGUGCUUUCGGGAGUAGCAUGGGAUGCGUGUAGUGCAGAACCGUGAUUGUGACAGAUGGUGCGUGAAAGACCAAAAUAACCUCGCGGAGAUGACAGAGAUUUUCCAUCAUUGCCAACAUUCUCCCCUAGUUUUUUAUGGAUUUUGGCUCCUUACCACUAUUUAUUUACUAUUUGAUACGCGUACCAAGUGCUCGGUGUAAACUAGGCAUAUGGGUCUGUUCGCGUCACAUGCUCCGACAUACUCCUAUUCACCCCAACGCACUCCAAUACGUUGAUUCCGAUGACGCCAACCUAUUAGAAUGCGUUGGAGUGAGUAGGAUCAUGUCGGGGCAUGGCGACGCGAACAAACCUUAUGUUACCUAGUCACGUGACCAUCCGCCAUGUUUUGGAUUGUAAGAAAGCGCGUUAUUCGAAGAUAUAAAACAAAAAAAGA